rnacentral:rRNA from 1 species
GGGGAAUUUUGGACAAUGGGGGAAACCCUGAUCCAGCCAUCCCGCGUGUGCGAUGAAGGCCUUCGGGUUGUAAAGCACUUUUGGCAGGAAAGAAACGUCAUGGGCUAAUACCCCGUGAAACUGACGGUACCUGCAGAAUAAGCACCGGCUAACUACGUGCCAGCAGCCGCGGUAAUACGUAGGGUGCAAGCGUUAAUCGGAAUUACUGGGCGUAAAGCGUGCGCAGGCGGUUCGGAAAGAAAGAUGUGAAAUCCCAGAGCUUAACUUUGGAACUGUAUUUUUAACUACCGAGCUAGAGUGUGUCAGAGGGAGGUGGAAUUCCGCGUGUAGCAGUGAAAUGCGUAGAUAUGCGGAGGAACACCGAUGGCGAAGGCAGCCUCCUGGGAUAACACUGACGCUCAUGCACGAAAGCGUGGGGAGCAAACAGGAUUAGAUAC